GACGAACCGAGCGAACGUUAUUCGGAAUCACUGGGCUUAAAGGGCGCGUAGGCGGGCGGUCAAGUCAGGGGUGAAAGCCCCCAGCUCAACUGGGGAAGUGCCUCUGAUACUGUCCAUCUCGAGGGAGGUAGGGGCGUGCGGAACUUCCGGUGGAGCGGUGAAAUGCGUAGAUAUCGGAAGGAACACCGGUGGCGAAAGCGGCGCGCUGGACCUCUUCUGACGCUGAGGCGCGAAAGCCAGGGGAGCAAACGGG
rnacentral:rRNA from 1 species